AUGUUGAGGAUGCUUCAUCAAGGGUCAAAAUUCAACGAGGGUCAUAAUUUUGAGUUUGUACUAUGAACAUUUUGUUUUGAUAAGCCCGGCGGGUUGAAGGCAGAUUCUGAACGCUUGUGCGCGGUGUAGUGUUGUGGCGCCU
rnacentral:lncRNA from 1 species